AGCACAGGCGCCCUAGAAAGGGAAACCUGUUUUCCUCCUCCCAGGUUUCUGGUUUCUUCACCCAGUCUCCCCACAGUCCUCCACUCCCCGCACCCAGUCCUUCUGGCCUCUACCCAGACUCUGAGAAGUGGCCCGACAUUCUAGGUAACCUGAUUCCCCAGACGGGAUAGGCGGCGGCCUGCUGCUGCGAAGGCGCGACCACGUGACCUUUCCUGCCUGCACCGGGGAAAUGCAUACCUUGUUCAGAAAACUAGGGGACAGAAGCUUCAGGACCAUCUCAAUUUGACAUGGAAGUGCUUUGCUUUAUUCCCAGGGAAUCUCCUGCAUGCUGGGUGUGACCACCCACACUUGUCAUCUCUUGGAACAACAUCCCCAGGAGAAUGUGAGCUCUGUGAAAACAAGGACCUCAUCUGUCUUAUUCAUCACUGGAACUCCAGCAUCCAGAAUAGUCCCUGGCACUGAUGAGGCAUUCAGUAAAUAUUAGUUGAAUGAAAGAAAUAAAAACACCCAUAGAUCAGGAUGUAUGACCAAGGAUAUUUAUUGCAGCAGUAUUAUGGUGGCAAAAAUCCAGAAUCAAAGAGAAUGUCCAUUAGUGAGGGGCUGAUUAGGACCUACACCACUACUGGGCUAAGCGGUGUGGCACAGUGGUUAAUGGUAUGGCUUUAGUGUCGGAUGCCUGGGCUGUAAUCCAUUUCUGUGUUCAUCUUAAACAUACAAUGAAUGGUCCUGGGGAAGAUGUUUAGCCCCUGUGUCUUAGUUUUCUCAUCUAUAAAACGAGGACAAUAAUGACACCAAUCUCAUAAGGUUUUGUGAGACUCAAAUGAAAUGAUAUAGGUAACAUGUGGGAACAGUGCCUGGCACAUUGUAACUCAAUAAAUAGUAGUUAUUAUUACUUCAUGAAAUAGUAAAGAGAAUGACUUAAAAAUCACUUGGAGGCAUUUUCAUGGUGCAUAAGUUAGUGGCCAACACACAAUGGUAAAGCACAUGUAUUGCAUGUUGCUUUUGUAAAUCUGACA
rnacentral:lncRNA from 1 species